rnacentral:rRNA from 1 species
UACGUAGGUCCCGAGCGUUGUCCGGAAUUAUUGGGCGUAAAGCGAGCGCAGGUGGUUUAUUAAGUCUGGUGUAAAAGGCAGUGGCUCAACCAUUGUAUGCAUUGGAAACUGGUAGACUUGAGUGCAGGAGAGGAGAGUGGAAUUCCAUGUGUAGCGGUGAAAUGCGUAGAUAUAUGGAGGAACACCGGUGGCGAAAGCGGCUCUCUGGCCUGUAACUGACACUGAGGCUCGAAAGCGUGGGGAGCAAACAGG